rnacentral:rRNA from 1 species
GACGAACGCUGGCGGCGUGCCUAACACAUGCAAGUCGAGGGUAGCAAUACACUGGCGCACGGGUGAGUAACGCGUAGGUAAUCUGCCCUUAUCCCAGACAUAACAUCGAGAAAUUGGUGCUAAAAUCUGAUGAGGCCUGAGGGUCAAAGUAUUCGUACGGAUAAGGAUGAGCCUGCGUCUGAUUAGCUAGUUGGUAAGGUAAUGGCUUACCGAGGCAACGAUCAGUAGCUGGUUUGAGAGGACGAUCAGCCACACUGGAACUGAGACACGGUCCAGACUCCUACGGGAGGCAGCAGUGAGGAAUUUUGCACAAUGGGGGCAACCCUGAUGCAGCGACGCCGCGUGCGGGAAGACGGAGCUUUGCUCUGUAAACCGCUGUCGUAUGGGAAGAGAAGAUUCUACGGGGAUCUGGGACAGUACCAUAAGAGGAAGCACCGGCUAACUACGUG